GACGAACGCUGGCGGCGUGCUUAACACAUGCAAGUCGAGCGGAGCGGCGAACGGGUGAGUAACGCGUGAGUAACUGCCCCCCUAUCUGGGAUAACAGUUGGAAAUGGCUGCUAAUACCGGAUAGUGGGGGAUGACUCGCGUCCUAUAAGCUUGUUGGUGGGGUAUUGGCCUACCAAGGCGACGACGGGUAGCCGGCCUGGGAGGGCGACCGGCCACAAUGGUCUGGGAGAUGGCGCAAACGCCAACGGGAGGCAGCAGUGGGGAAUAUUGCACAAUGGUGGAAACCCUGAGGCAGCAACGCCGCGUGCGGGAUGACGUCCUUCGGGUUGUAAACCGCUUUCAGCCAUGACGCGGUAGUGGCAGAAGAAGCACCGGCUAACUACGUGCCAGCAGCCGCGGUAAUUC
rnacentral:rRNA from 1 species